AUGCACAAAACAACAUGUUUUUUAUUUGAUUAAUCAAUUAGCAAAUCUGAUAUACAUAAUGGUUCUUGUUUUUUCGCAAUGCUAUGUACAGUUGAAUUGUCUCUUAGGUGAGCAGCUUUUUGUAACCAUCAGUACAUGUUCUUUCUAUUGCGGAGUUAUUUUCUUCCCAACUCAGUUCAAAUCGAUGUGCUUGUCCCCAUAUUCCCAAGAGCCAGCUCAACACUCAUCGUUGUAUUAUUGUUGUUCUUGUUCUCCCAACAGCUUCGCUAGCUUUUCUAAAAAGAAAAAGUGUGCCGCUAGGUAUUUAUGGGUUGCCUCUAGCCAGCAAGAUGAAUUGAUGUUCGGUCUCCGCUGCUUGUCUCAGGCAGCGCCACAACGUCAGUCUCGGCGUCCUGACCUGAAUGGAUUUGGACGAAAGGGGGAGAUAGUUAAGAAAACAAACAAAUAGUUUGUGAAAAAGGAACAAAUAAUCUGUGCGUCCACUGCUCUAUUAUAUUACAAAGACAAAAUUGUUGCGCACAAGAUAUAAAGAGAGGAUCAUCAUAAACCUAUGAGAGAAUGUUAUUUGGAAACUAAUGUUUUGUUCCAUGGGCCACAUGUAAAACAGGUGAAGGUUAAUUUUACGUACGUGUGUGUUGGAGCCUUGGAGGAAGCAUCUCAGUUACACAUUGAGUUGAGUUAUGUAUAAGAUAAUUGCCCAGUAGGUGCUAAGAAAAUAUAAAACAUAUAUAAGGUGUAAUUUUUUAAACAGAACCUACUAUUUUCAGAUGUAAUUGUUAAAUUAGUGAAAUAGUAUACUUGGAAUAUGUGCUUUAAUUUCUCUUGCCCAGAUAAAUCGGUUUGUCAGCUAUAAAUUAAGGCAGAUGAUACCAGAAUUCUAUUUAUAUGUACUCCCUCCGUCCCAUAAUAUAAGAUCGUCAGCUUGCAAAACGAUAUUAUAUUAUGGGACGGAGGGAGGAGGAAGUAUGUAUUAAUUAGAGAAUGAAAACAAGUUUGACAUUGUCCUUUCAACUAUAAGUAUAAAGAAUGAGGUCAGACGUAGAAUUACCCAAAUGGCAGCUAUUGGACGGUGGCAGUAUGAAAAACAGUGCACCACAAAAAAACAUAAAUAGCAUGAAUCGACCAUAUAAAUAGAAGGUGGUUGUAUAUUUACUGACCACUUUAUUUUUCUGCAUGAUGGGAAAGGCCAUUGAAAGUAUUUCCGAACCGCCGUAGAAAUCCAAUCGGGUUAAGAUGCUUAAUACCCCGCAAAAAAAGGGUUAAGGUGCUUAAUGAUAUGAACUUAUACUGAUGAUUGGUACACAUGCAAAUUAGCUCAAGUUUGUCCUUUUCUCUGAUAAUGACACAACUCUAAUAAUUUCUUAUUACCGCAAAUACCAUACCACAGCACAAAUAUAUUUUAUACAUAGUGGCAUAUUACUGGCAUAAUAAUGUUCACAUAAGACAUUUUCGAGAUGCAGAUACAAUUAAACUGGAUAUAAUAUGUCUUGAAUAUUAGGUUAGUAUAUUUUGGAUGUAUCCUUUUCUAUGAUACUGAUAGAACACUAAAGAAUUUUUAGCACCAUCAACACCAAAUAUACCAUGCAUACCAUAAAUAUUUCUUUAUACACACUGGAAAUUGCUGUUAUAAUAUUCUUCUGGCAAGUCAUUUCGAGAUGUAGAUAAGAUUAAACUGGACAUAACAUGUCUGGAUUCCUAGGUUAAACUUUUUAGGAAGUUUCUUUUUCUUUAAUACAGAGACAACCCACUGGCAUACACAUGCAUUCACAGGCCUUAAAUCAUAGGCUAUCACUAGCUAGUCGGAUUACAUAGUGAAUCAAUUGCAACGAUAGUUAAUUGUUUAGUAUAUGCUACACCAUGAUAUGGAAAAUUAGUCACGGAUGACCAAGGCUCAAGUACCAAUGCGGGAGCCCGCCGGCUAGGAAGUUAAUCAAGAAUAGUGUCAUCGAGAACAUUAGUAGUCUAACUGAAAGAGGAAAGCAUGAAAGCAUGUACAUACCGUUGUCAAACGCUAUAAUUGAAUCCCCAUAUGGUGCAAACGUGUUGCUACCAUGGGGGCGCACAACCUGCACCCAGACAUGUCCAUGGAUUGCACAAGCAUGAGACUAAUAAAUUUCAGGCAAUUCAGGAGGUUUGGUCGCCAGACCGAUCUCAACCACACCAGAUCGAGACAAUAAUAUAAGUUGCAAGUACACAAUCUAGAAGAGAUAACCCUCGAUCCCUGCCACAAAUCUCAAAUAGGCUAUUUCGAUUGUUCAAUUACAUAGUCAAAGAAACAAAUCCAAUUAGAAAAACACAAACGAGUUCACUCGAGUAGCCAAAUCGUCUCCGUCGGAUGGAAGGGCAAGAAAACCGAUCAAGAAUGGCGCCGGAUGUGGAUUCGGCUGCAGCUUGGCAGAUUGGACUUGAUGCGCAUGGUCGAGCCAAGAUCAAACAGUGGACAUGGACAUGCGUUGUCCUACCAUCUGACUGCUCAAUGUCCAGCUCCAGCCGGUUGCAAUUUAUUGGAGAAGUGAAACAAGCGAGGGCAUGGAGGCCACAUCGAGGCCGUGCAGGAACAAUAAUCCAUAGAACAACCAAUUGCAUGCACGGGAUUAACAUGGAGAGGAUAUUUGUUUAGAAAUUGCUUCAGGUUGUUGCUUUUCUUCUUGGGAAAAGAAGAGGCUAUCAAGUUAUAGGUAGAAAAAAAGAUCAUGGCUUGAUUGAUUGAGAUGGGAGGUUUUUUUUCAUUUUUUGAACAGAGAAAAAAGAUCAUGGAGUUUAGUUUUUCUUAAAGGUACAAACUGACUGAUAUGGGAUCCCCCCCCCCCCGCCCUCUAUUUUGUUGAGUUUUUUCUGGCCAAGGAUUUUAUGGAUCAAUCUACACCGUAAUAAUUUGGACCCACCAGAUAAACGGCUCGUAAUUCAUAAUUAUCGUGCGAAUUUCUUGGAAGUCUAUAAUUAAUAGAAGUAUAUAGAUAUAGAUAGAUAUAAAUAUAGAUAUAUGUAGAAGUCAGGGGCGGAACCAGGAUUUGAGUAUAGGGGGGGCCAAGCCAAGCUACUAAUAGAAAUUUAGGACAGAAAAUAGCUAUCAUAAUAUUUCGCUUCAUGAUGUAAAAACAACACUACAAUUAUAUCAGCUUAAAUUUGCCUCUAGGAUUGCCAAUAAGAUCAAAUUUUUAAUAAUUUGAGCAGAGGAAAACUUAGCUGCUAAUUCUCUUUCAAUGUAUAUUAUAAUGUAGUGCUGAAGCUAGCUAAUCUCCCUUUUAGUUCGAGAAUUCAAAGCAAUAUGCUUAAAAAAUGAGUUGAUCGUUAGUGUGUUUGACGGUAAUUUUCCCUUCAUAAUUGCUGAACUAGAAGUCUUGGAAUUAACAUCACAUAUCACACAACUGAAACACCUAAAUAUGAUUUCUAUUUAUUUCAAGUACAGGAUCAAAAUUGAGAGAGAUUAGUACUACUUCUUCCAGCCCCAUGUAAUGACGCAACCCAUCCAGGCACACAACGACGACAUUUAAUUAGGGCCAGGGGGAUUACUAGACAGUCUUAGGUAGUUCUAACCUUGGAUAGAUGUGUAGUGCGUUUGCUGGAGAAGAAUUGCAGCCAAAGAGAUGGGCACUUGAGCAGAUUGGCCGUAGGUUAAUCACGGAGGGCAGGUGGCAGCAGGGGCGAAUGGCGGCUCUGCAGCAGAACGAUCUCGCAAAUCUCAUAGGUUAAUCACGGAGAGUUGCCGCACUUACGCUAGGGCUAGGAAAGGGCCAAGGAGAUCACCUAGGGACUGCUAUGAAUGGGCUUUCUCAUGGACCUAUUCCCCUUUUUCAGAUUUACAGAGAUAGGGGGGGCCAGUACACGUAAUCACCUC
rnacentral:lncRNA from 1 species